rnacentral:misc_RNA from 1 species
CUCUACUAUUAUCUAGUAUUACUAUAUUUUUCCAUUAACAUAAAAAAGCAUAUUCUUUCUCAUUUUUAUUGAAUAAAGAAAAGUAAUAAAUAAGCAAAAUUUUCAUUUUUAUCUAUUUUCAAUUGAAUUUAAAUUGUAAAAAAAAAACUUCAUAAAAGAUUAGGAAAAGUAAAAGUAUAUGAUAUAGAAACCUAUAAUAUAAAUGAAUACAAAUAAAAACAAACAAAUCGAACCAAACUAUAAAAAGUACUUGUUAUUUUUAAAGUUUAAAGAAACUAUGUAAGGCAAAUAGUACUAAAUAAAAAAAGGAGCAAUAACGCCCUCUUGUUUUAUCAAGAGGGAAGCUAUUGCUCCUUUUUUAGUUCAAAAACUCCUAUACAAUCAGACCAAAGUC